rnacentral:rRNA from 1 species
AUUGAACGCUGGCGGCAGGCCUAACACAUGCAAGUCGAACGAGUGGCGGACGGGUGAGUAAUGUCUGGGAAACUGCCCGAUGGAGGGGGAUAACUACUGGAAACGGUGGCUAAUACCGCAUACCAUCGGAUGUGCCCAGAUGGGAUUAGAUAGUAGGUGGGGUAAAGGCUCACCUAGGCGACGAUCCCUAGCUGGUCUGCGAGGAUGCACGGCCACACGGGAACUGAGACACGGUCCAGACUCCUACGGGAGGCAGCAGUGGGAAAUAUUGCACAAUGGGCGCAAGCCUGAUGCAGCCAUGCCGCGUGUAUGAAGAAGGCCUUCGGGUUGUAAAGUACUUUCAGCGGGGAGGCGGUACCCGCAGAAGAAGCACCGGCUAACUCCGUGCCAGCAGCCGCGGUAAUAC